CCUACGGGUGGCAGCAGUCGAGAAUCAUUCACAAUGGGGGAAACCCUGAUCGUGCGACGCCGCGUGGGGGAAUGAAGGUCUUCGGAUUGUAAACCCCUGUCAUGUGGGGGCAAAUUCAAAAGAUAGUACCACAAGAGGAAGAGACGGCUAACUCUGUGCCAGCAGCCGCGGUAAUACAGAGGGCUCAAGAGUUGUUCGGAAUCACUGGGCGUAAAGCGUGCGUAGGCUGUUUCGUAAGUCGUGUGUGAAAGGCGCGGGCUCAACCCGCCGAGGGCAGAUGACACUGGGAGACUAGAGUAAUGGAGGGGUAAGCGGAAUGCGCGGUGUAGCAGUGAAAUGCGUAGAUAUCGAGAGGAACACUCGUGGCGAAGGCGGGGUCCUGGACAUGAACUGACGCUGAGGCACGAAGGCCAGGGUAGCGAAAGGGAUUAGAUACCCGAGUAGUC
rnacentral:rRNA from 1 species